ACCUUGUAUACAAAAUGGCUUUAUUAAAAAAUUCAGCAAUUAGGAAAACAAAGCCUUCUCAAAGGUUCUAUAAAAAAAGUACAAUUUUUAAAUAAAUGCAUCAGAAAAGUGGCAGCCACAUACACCAGCCACAGUCACAACCCUGGGGGAUGGGAGAAGUGCCCAGAGUCCCAAGAAGAGGCUGGGCACAGGGGUCUUUGGAUGCUGUAGGGCCAGGUACUAGAGCUACCAGGCAGGGGCCCUUUCAGUUUUCCUUUCCUUGGAAAAAAUGUAAAGAAUCUGGCAAGCAUAGGAAAUUCUAAGUCUGAAGCAGAACGAUACAGAAGUCAUUUAUAAGGCACAACUGACUCCAGCCCUAAGGCACAUGAAGUGGAUGAACAGGAGAUCACAGCCACAUGGCCCCCAGUUCCGGUCAUGCUCCUGGUUGGCACCCCCUCUGGGUUUGGCUACAGGUUAAAUUAAGGUUGAUCAAGUGGACAGUAAAAUCCCUGCAGGCAGGGCCGUGGAGCCGGUCUUGAGAAGAGAUGUAUUGCUUCACUAGAAAAACUGGUAUCUUGCCCUGCCAGGGCAAGAAGGAUCACAUUGGCUCCCAAGAAACGCCCCUAUGGAGAGCACCAGGCCACCUGUCCCACCUUGUCAUCUGAGCCACUGUGGGUACCCGCCCUGGACAAGGAAUUUCCAAGGGCAGUCCUUUCCAGCUAGGCAUUUAGACAAAGAGAAACGCUGGAGCCAGGGUUUCACUGUAUGGCAACACAGAAGCUGGCAUUGUCAAAACCAGUCCCCCAAAACUGCUGGCGCACACCCAUGGUCACUGGUGACAGGCCUCCCUGGUGACAUUAGGCAGUGGGUAGGCGAAGAGGGAGAAGUCCAGGAUAUACUUGGGCAGGACGUCCUGCAGCAGGGCCCGUGGGGCACUGCACAGGUGGUAGUGCAGGCUUUCGGGGCUGGCUGGCCUGUACCAGGCCUGGCGAGCUGGGAAUCGGACAUGGGGCGGUGCCCGCACCCACUCCAGCACCUGGUUGGCAUCCGCCUCCAGCCGCUCAUAGGAGCCCACAAAGUCAUAGCGCACCGCACAAGGCUGGCACAGGUGGUACACGGGCAUCCAAUGCUCGUUCAUGCGCUCGGGGUCCUCAUCCGCCAGGUAUCUCAGAAACUCAGGGAAGGUGACAUCGUCCCCCGCAGGGCUGGGCCCCGCUCCAGCCCUGUACCGCUUCACGAUCUCAACUCCGUAGCGCUGCUGGUACUCUCGGAUCUCACCAAACUUGUUGCGGUAAGCAGAGAGAAGACGCUCCAAGGGGUCCCGCACAAACAGGAACUUGAAGUAGUGCUGGAGGCGGUAGCGAAUCUCGUCAGGCCGCAGGUCGGCCAGGAACACCAGGUCGCUGCGGUGGUCCAUCUUGAGGCGGACGUCCACGUUGUCCAGGACUCCCGCCAGCACCUUCAGAACCCGCUUCCAGUUGGAGCAGGCCACCUUGGGCACAUAGCAGUAGAGGAAGCGGUAGCGGUCACUCACGAGGAUGUGGCGCAGCAGGGUGCGCCGCUGCCCCACCGGCAAGUCCCAGGGGUCCCGGGGCAUGCCCGGUUGUCCGCACACUGCCCGCAAGGUCCGGUUCCGGACGUCCUGCCUCACCUGCAGGUCCGAGUCCCCCGCAUCCAGGGACAGCCUCCCAGGCCUGGGGACUGUCCCGCGCCAGACCGCGUCCUCGCGAUUGGGAGGGUGCAGGGGAAGGGGCUUCAUCUCGGCCAGGAUGCCCCGCUCGAUCAUGAGCAGCAGCCCGCUGGAAGCCACGAUCACCGCGAACAUCAGCAUGGACGGCAGCAGGAGGGGCGGCCCGCCCAGCCCAGCCCGGGCCCUGCCCAGGGGCGCCCGCCUCAGCGCCCGGCCCAGGGGCUCGGCGCCAUUUGGGGCCGCCAGCGGGGUCAGCGGGCGGGGGAACAUUGUGCUCUCGGGGCGGGGGCCUGCGUGGGCCAGGCUGAUCCGAGGGCUGUACGGGAGGCGGGCUCGGGCUGGGGGCGGGCCCGAGGGCUUGGACCCGCGGAGCCCGGAAGGGAUCCGGGAGAGCAGCGCUGGCUGGAGGCCCCCGGCGCGCGCGGGGUGGCCCACUCCCGGGAUGCGGCGCCGAAGCGGGCGGCGGGCAGCGGGCAGCGCGCGAACACGGCGAGGGACCUGGGCCGGAUGUCCCGCCCGGCCGC
rnacentral:lncRNA from 1 species